rnacentral:rRNA from 1 species
GUUAAAAAGCUCGUAGUCGGAUUUUGGCUGAGAACGGUCGGUCCGCCGUUAGGUGUGCACUGACUGGUCUCAGCUUCCUGGUGAGGAGGUGUGCUUCAUCGCCACUUAGUCACCGUGGUUACUUUGAAAAAAUUAGAGUGUUCAAAGCGGGCUUACGCUUGAAUAUAUUAGCAUGGAAUAACACCAUAGGACUCCUGUCCUAUUUCGUUGGUCUCGGGACGGGAGUAAUGAUUAAGAGGAACAGUUGGGGGCAUUCGUAUUUCAUUGUCAGAGGUGAAAUUCUUGGAUUUAUGAAAGACGAACUUCUGCGAAAGCAUUUGCCAAGGAUGUUUUCAUUGAUCAAGAACGAAAGUUGGGGGCUCGAAGAUGAUUAGAUACCAUCCUAGUCCCAACCAUAAACGAUGCCGACUAGGGAUUGGCGGAUGUUAAUUGAUGACUUCGCCAGCACCUUAUGAGAAAUCAAAGUUUUUGGGUUCCGGGGGGAGUAUGGUCGCAAGGCUGAAACUUAAAAGAAUUGACGGAAGGGCACCACCAGGAGUGGAGCCUGCGGCUUAAU